GCCUCGAUAGCGCAGUAGGCGGCACGCGAGUCUCAUAAUCUCGAGGUCGUGAGUUCGAACCUCAAUCGGGGCA
rfam:Daphnia pulex DAPPTscaffold_725_Cont10805, whole genome shotgun sequence.